AUGUGGGUGUGUUAUGCGUGUUAUGCAGGCGUGUGAUGCGUGUAUAGGAUAUAUAUGAUGCAGGCGUGUGAUGCGUGUAUAUGAGGUCUAUGAUGCAGGUGUGUGAUGUGUGUAUAUGAGGUCUAUAAUGCAGGUGUGUGAUGCGUGUAUAUGAGGUCUAUGAUGCACGUGUGUGAUGCGUGUAUAUGAUGCGGGUGUGAUACGUGUAUAUGAUGUAUAUGUUGUGGGUGUGAUGUGUGUAUAGGAUGUAUAUGAUGCAGGUGUGUGAUGCGUGUAUAUGAUGCAGGUGUGAUGCAUGUAUAUGAUGCGGGUGUGAUAUGUGUAUAUGAUGUAUAUGUUGUGGGUGUGAUGUGUGUAUAGGAUGU